AACGAACGCUGGCGGCAUGCCUAACACAUGCAAGUCGAACGAGAUCUUCGGGUCUAGUGGCGCACGGGUGCGUAACGCGUGGGAAUCUGCCCUUUGGUUCGGGAUAACAGUUGGAAACGACUGCUAAUACCGGAUGAUGACGAAAGUCCAAAGAUUUAUCGCCAGAGGAUGAACCCGCGUAGGAUUAGCUAGUUGGUGUGGUAAAGGCGCACCAAGGCGACGAUCCUUAGCUGGUCUGAGAGGAUGAUCAGCCACACUGGGACUGAGACACGGCCCAGACUCCUACGGGAGGCAGCGGUGGGGAAUAUUGGACAGUGGGCGAAAGCCUGAUCCAGCAAUGCCGCGUGAGUGAUGAAGGCCUUAGGGUUGUAAAGCUCUUUUACCCGGGAUGAUAAUGACAGUACCGGGAGAAUAAGCUCCGGCUAACUCCGUGCCAGCAGCCGCAGUAA
rnacentral:rRNA from 1 species